rnacentral:lncRNA from 1 species
ACACUCGCGCGCGCACACACACACCACGUACACACUGCCACUUUCUGCACUUACACGUAUAAAUCCUUUCCAUACAUGCACUUUCAUAGCUCCUCAAACACACACACUCCUGAACGCACAUGGAGUAUCCACGUAAUUCCUGUCUACACACACACAUCACACACACUACUACUUUUCUGCACUUACACAUACAAAUCUCUUCCCCCUACAUGCUCUCAUAAUCCUCCAAACACACAAACACAAACACGCCAAGUUCAAGCACAGCAGAGUCCUGAACGCACACUAAGCGCAUACACAAUUCCGCUGUUUACAUACAUACCCUACACCCUGAAACUCACAGCCCCAGUUGGUUCCACAAGCUCGAACGUGAGGAAGAGGAAAAAGAAGGCUUGGAGAAGAAAUCAUGCCCGUCUUUCGCAGGCAUCGCCAUGGACGUGGCUCGCAUGUAGUUCAUACCUCCAGGAAGGGCUCAAACCCAGACACCUCGUCUCCUCCCAGCAAAGUGGCCCGCUGCACGAGAGGUGGACAAGAGGCUUACUCUUUUUAUUCUGAGAAAGGGAAUUUUUUUUUUUCUUGAAUGGAGUAAGGAAGGAAUUGUUUUCUCUGUGAUUCUCAAGGAAUGGACUCAGCAGACUUUUUUUUUUUUUUAAGUAGAAAAGGGGCUCGGAGAUCGCUGUGUUGGCGAGCUGGAUCCAGCUGGCACGUGGGCAGGGCUGUCUUGUCAGGGACUGAGGGCUUUUCUCUGUUUUCAAGGUCAGUCUCUGACAGAUGACGGCCAGUAACCUCUGAGCCUCACUGCCGAGGGCCAGCCCACCCACGGCCUCUGUCAAGCUUGGAUAUGAAGCGCGGGGGAAGAGGAGACUCGCUCGUACUGGGUGUGCCCUUGGAACUCUGUUUUCCCAGUUCACACAGAUUCAUAGCCUAUUAUUUUAUGACCCAAAGUACAAAGACUUGCGGGGAGGAAUGAUGGGGAUAGCAGUUUGUCACUGCGCCACAGAAGGAGGCUGCCUGGCUCACAUGUAGGAAGAGCCAUAUCACUGGCACAGGCCUCUGGAUAAUCAUGGAAUAUGCUGAAGUACUCAGCUUCUUGAAUGCAGGCACAGAGAAAACACAGGACUCCUGCCAAAUGAAUGCAGCAUCAAGAGCCAAAUGGCAAUGCAGCAAUGCCCAGUGGAAAAUAAUUUCCAUGGUAGAAGUUUAUACCCCGCAAAACUAUCAACCAAACAUAAGGCUAAAAUCCAUUCUCAAAAAAAAAAAAAAGUUUUAUUUAUUUAUGCCCUGUCUGAGGUAGCUACUGAAGAUUGCUUGCCACCGAAACAAGAUUAAAUCAAGAUAAGGAGAAAAUGUAGAAUAUAGAAAACAAGCAAGCUAGCACAUGAUAGAGGCAAAAGAGUUCCUCAAGAUGAUAAUGAAAAGAGAACUCAAAUUGGAGUAGGUCAGAAAACUCAGGGUUGAGAUUUCUUCUAGAUUAAAUGGAAUUCUUGGAAUGGAAGAACAUAGAGGAUACUGAGACAGCUCAUGAAGACUCUGUGGUUAAAUUAGUAAUCAGUUCAUAGAAAACUGUGGUACCAAAAAGAAGACAAUUAUUAACUCCAAGUAUAACAAAACAUGCAGAAAAAUUCAGAAUAAUCAGAGUAUGCAACGUGGCUGAGUCGUAACUAGCAUUUGUUUAGUUGUAAUAAUGUAAACCAUGCAUAUUGAUCUAACCUAAAUUAUGACAUAUCUGGAAUAGGAAUUUGAGGGAUUGGGAAAUGUGCCUGUGUGUAGUGGAGGCUUUGUGUAAGGGGAGGAAGUGGUGAAAAAAAAUGAACCUCAUCUGCUUUAAGGAAACAUCAAUAGAUAAUAGCUAAAAUGUUUCAAAAAUCAGGAGGAAGAAAUGUAAGCAUAUUAUUUGGAGACACAGUGGCAAAAGUAAUAUCAAGCUAAACGUUUUGGAAGUCAUUGCUGUAGGAAAUGGGAAAUGGGGGGAAGGCAUACAGUACUUCUGGUUUUUAUACAAGUCUUCUAGAACAAUUUGAUGGGUGUAUAACUUUAAUUUUGGAAAUGCAAAUGAAGUAAUACAUGCUUAUUACACCAUUAUUAAUAAUGAUAAAUAUCAUUAUCAUUAAUGAAUAAUAAAUAAAUAGCAGAACCUUGAAUUCAUGACUUCUGAGUCAGGUGCUCUUUCUACAAAAAUCAAACCAGAAUUAGAAUAUUUACCAAUCUUUUUGUUUUUA